UGUAUUUUAGUAUAAGAUGUAUAAAAGUUUUUGAUACUUUAGGUGAAAGUUUAAUUCUUUUAAAUACAA
rnacentral:tRNA from 1 species